UACGGAGGGGGCAAGCGUUAAUCGGAAUUACUGGGCGUAAAGGGAGCGUAGGCGGCCAGUUGAGUCAGGUGUGAAAGCCCCGGGCUUAACCUGGGAGGUGCACUUGAUACUGGGUGGCUUGAAUUCGGGAGAGGAUGGGGGAAUUCCCAGUGUAGUGGUGAAAUUCGUAGAUAUUGGGAAGAACACCGAUGGCGAAGGCAGCCAUCUGGACCCGGAUUGACGCUGAGGUACGAAAGCGUGGGGAGCAAACAGG
rnacentral:rRNA from 1 species